GCGCCCGUAGCUCAAUUGGAUAGAGCAGCGGCCUUCUAAGCCGCAGGUUUCGCGUUCGAGCCGCGACGGGCGUA
rnacentral:tRNA from 1 species